CUUCUACUCAGGCGGAGCUCCUGCCUCCUCUGACCUGCCUCUGACUGCAGGCGAGAGCUGGCUUGUCCUGGCUGGCCAGACUGUUAGGUUUUGGGGAAUUCUACAGGCCAUCUGUGAAACACAGCCAGCAUCUUAAAAUUAAAUGAUUUGAACUUACAAUUAACUAAGGCGUGGCAGUUUUUCCUUUCUCUGAUUACAAACCAGCAUUCUGGAACCAUCCGGUUGAAGUCACAGAGCCCUGAGUGGUGGGGUGAUGUGGAGGUUACCUCCCGCAGCUGCGCACCUUAGAAGGCGGGGUCUGUUUUCUGUUCACUAGCCCAGAGCCUCAGACUCACAUCCAUGGAGGGCUCGCUCAAAUCAACUCCUGGGUCCCACCUCCAGUUUCUCGUUCAGAUCUGAGGUAUCUGAGAGCAGGGCUUGUCCAGCGAGGAGAUUAGAAAAGGAUACGAGCUCAUUCCCAUACGGUAAAGCCAGAGAAAGCCUUGCUGUGAAGAGAACAAACAGAACCUGUUUGGUGGCUUGUCAUUUCAAUGACAACACGAACCUUUCACAGGUGAGCAUUCCUCGCACGCCUCCCCUUCCUCCUGCCCCUGGGGGGGGGGGGUGGGCGGGCAGUGGGGUCACCCCAGCGGGAGCAGGCGAAAAACACGAAAACAAGUUACAUGCCUUCAGAGAACCCAGGGGUUUGAUGACAAACAUUUAAGAACCCAAGGGAGAGUCGAGGGAGAAAAGUUUAUUAAAACUUGCCCAGGCGAUAAAAAUCACUCCAAGAAGAAACAAUGCCUCAUUCUGCUACCUCGUUUAGGGAAACAG